rnacentral:rRNA from 1 species
UGGCGCCAGGAGCCGACGAAGGACGUGGCGAACGACGAAACGCUUCGGGGAGCUGUAAGCGAGCUUUGAUCCGGAGAUAUCCGAAUGGGGGAACCCACUAUCCGUAAUGGGAUAGUACUCCUGCCUGAAUCCAUAGGGCAGUGAGAGGCAUACCAGGGGAACUGAAACA